AAAAAAACAUGUAUAAAAUCCGUAGGUUCGUAGUCGCUAACAGGAACAGCAUGACCGCCAGUGUGUGAGGGAGGUGGUGUGAAGUGUUGCCAUGUCAGUGCAUCCUCCCAGCAGUGUGUGAGAAGCAUUGCCCAGAGCCUCAGCACUACCACGGGAGUUUAUGGGUCUCUAUCGCUUCUUCUUUCACCACUUCUGGCCAUCCGGGACGACCAGUGAACGACCUGUGCAAGCCGCCACAACCACCAGGUGUCUCGUGUCUCAUCCUGGAAGCAAAUAAGCAAAUGAAAUGAGAGGAGAGGGAAAGAAUCAACAUAAAGAGAUUAGAAAAUGUAACCACGUGUUUUAAAACAGAACCUCACCGAGAACUGAACUUUUGCCUCCGAAAAUAUGAACAUAAGAACACAAAGGAAGCUGCAAGAACCAGUCAGGCCUACACAUGGCAGUCCCUUUAGUAACGUAAUUGUAUUGUGUUAACUGUACUAUGACUACUGUAAAUAGAUGAAUAAAUAAAGAGAUAAAUUAUUCGAAGUAACGUAGAAUACCACGAAAAGAGAUGUUACAGAUGUUAUGAAGGACUCAGCAAGUUAACCCUUUCACUGAAUAGGUAUACUCCUCCCACAGACAGUCCCUUG